rnacentral:tRNA from 1 species
GUUUUCGUUGUGUAGUGGUUAUCACGUUUGCCUCACACGCGAAAGGCCCCCGGUUCGAACCCGGGCGAAAACA